GUGACAGAAGAGAGUGAGCACAUGGGGUGCUUUUCUUGCAUGCUUUGAUGCUUGAAGCUCUGCGUGCUCACUCUCUAUCUGUCAU
rnacentral:pre_miRNA from 1 species